rnacentral:rRNA from 1 species
CCUACGGGAGGCAGCAGUAGGGAAUAUUGGGCAAUGGAGGCAACUCUGACCCAGCCAUGCCGCGUGCAGGAUGAAGGCGUUAUGCGUUGUAAACUGCUUUUAUAUAGGAAGAAAUAGACCUUGCGAGGUAAGUUGACGGUACUAUAUGAAUAAGCACCGGCUAACUCCGUGCCAGCAGCCGCGGUAAUACGGAGGGUGCAAGCGUUGUCCGGAUUUAUUGGGUUUAAAGGGUGCGUAGGCGGUUUAUUAAGUCAGUGGUGAAAGACGGUCGCUCAACGAUUGCAGUGCCAUUGAUACUGGUAGACUUGAGUGGGAUUGAGGUAGCUGGAAUGGAUAGUGUAGCGGUGAAAUGCAUAGAUAUUAUCCAGAACACCAAUUGCGUAGGCAAGUUACUAAGUCUCAACUGACGCUGAGGCACGAAAGUGUGGGUAUCAAACAGGAUUAGAUACCCUGGUAGUCCACACUGUAAACGAUGAUAACUAACUGUUGGCUUUCGGGUCAGUGGUACAGAGAAAUCGUUAAGUUAUCCACCUGGGGAGUACGCCGGCAACGGUGAAACUCAAAUGAAUUGACCGGNNGAGAGAGCGACGACGACGACGAGGGAGGAGG